CUUCCCUUACCUGCCGAAUGUCCCUAGGAGGUCAUAUACCAGUUAAACUGCCCCAUUUUGCCUCUUAGUGUACAUUGUGAGCCCACUCAACCAGUUCCUGAGAUACUACUGGGAAGCUGCUGAUCACCAGUUUCAGGUUUUUUCCAUCUGUUGGGAAACUGCCUAUCCCUUGUGCUCGCUGCAACCAAUUAUUAUUUUAGGGAGACAGUUAACCGCCUGACCAUCACCCGAUGAUCGCCUGAUGUUCAUGCAUCCAUGACUACAUAAACUUUUUGGCCGUUUGACCAAAUGGGGACAUCUGGCAUACUGCUAUCAACCAAUAUGUAGUUGAAAAUUAAGCUCAGGGUCUGAGUUCUGGGAUGUUCACCAGUACCAAGGAGUCAGAAUGGAGGCCCUGUGUUAGAUGCUGCACAAAGAUGAAUAAGUGUGAACAGCUGUCAACUAUUCCAAAGUUGUAGCUGCUACAGCUGCUAUAAAAGGCAGCGAGUCUGAGGCUGCCCCAGGAAUCAGGAGGUGUUGUAUAAGAGGAGAACUUAGCUCUGAAUGGACUAGUAUACCUGAUCACCAGCAGCAGUUAAAAGGUAAACCACAUUUCUCAAGCUCCCUCAGGCUAGGUAUGUCCAGUGACUGAAUUCUUGCCAGUGGAAUAAGACAUAUUUGAUGUACUCCACUUUCGAGCCUGAUUCAGAAAGACUCUGAAACCUCCAUUCUCUCCCUUCUACUGGGCAUCUAUUUCCUGGAUGACCUUAAGACAAAGAUGGCAGAACCUUCAAAGUCUUGGACCCUGAAUGACUGCCUGGAGUAGAAGCUCCACUCUACUCUCAUGUUAGGAAUUGACAUGAGCAAGUAACACAUUUUAUUAUGGUAAGCCAGGUAUUUAGGGAGUUAUCUUACAGCUGUUGUUACUACAACUAAUAUAGAAAUUGGUGCUUUGAAAUGGUAACUACUACAAUGAGUAAGGCAUUAAACUACUUUUAUACAUAUAAUCUUUUAAACUAAAAGAACAAAAAAGAAUUUAUUUAAAUAGAAGCAUUAACAUAGCUGAGAUAGAAAAUUAAUAUGUACACAGGAAGAAAACAAACCUACAAAUGCAAAUUGCCUGAAAUGAUUCAUAAUUUAUGUUAAUAGAAAGCAAUUAAUAAAAAUUAUUUAUCACAAUAA
rnacentral:lncRNA from 1 species